rnacentral:misc_RNA from 1 species
UACGAAGGAUGCAAGCGUUAUCCGGAUUUAUUGGGUUUAAAGGGUGCGUAGGCGGCCUUAUAAGUCAGUGGUGAAAUCCUAUCGCUUAACGAUAGACGUGCCAUUGAUACUGUAGGGCUUGAGUACAGAUGCCGUUGGCGGAAUGUGUCAUGUAGCGGUGAAAUGCAUAGAUAUGACACAGAACACCGAUUGCGAAGGCAGCUGACGAAACUGUAACUGACGCUGAUGCACGAAAGCGUGGGGAUCAAACAGG